AUUUCUCUAGUAUAACUAGUACAAUUGACUUCCAAUCAAUUAGCUCUGGCGCAAACCAGAGAGAAAUA
rnacentral:tRNA from 1 species